AUUUUCCUGGUUUCUAUAUUUCUUUUUUUCAGUUUGUUUCUAUCCAUCAUACACCGCAUUUGCCUCUGUUCACUGUUCUCACCAGCAUUGUUUUGCUCAACUUCCUACUAUUUCUGCCAUUCUGCAACUCCUCUCUUUCCCCCAUUGUUUCUCCACCAGCCCCCUUUACCUAACUUGACUAUUUGUAUUUAGAGAUGGGUGUGCAAGUGUGUAAUGGGAACUGUAU